UCUUUCUUUACAUUAGAUAUUCUGAAGGAGAUUUAACAUUUUAUCUUGUUUUAUCACUACAAUACCCACUUUGAUAUACAUAGGAGCCACACAAUUUCUAUUAGGUAUAAAAAAAAUAUUUAAACUUAUGUCAGCUUUAUCGUUCAUGGGUGUGGUACUGCUUCCAAGAUUCAGAGAAAACUUCAACUUCACCACAUCAUCUGGUGUUUGCUGGUGAUGAAAUUAGAUUAGAUUAGAUUAGAUUAGAUUUUAUUGAUCCUUUUGUGAUGACUCCCUCAAGGAAAUUGAUUGUCCAGUAGUUUACAGAAGAAACACAACACAAUAUUAAAUUAUAUACAAUAUAAGAUAAACAAUACACUCUUGGAUAACUAUAAAAAGUAAAACAAAAAGUAAACAGUAAACAAUAAUUAUAAUAAUAAUAUAAGAUAAACAAUAAACUCUUAACUAACUAACUAACUAUAAAAAGUAAACAAAAACAGUAAACAAUAAACUCUUAGCUAAUAUAGAAAGUAGAGAUAAUAAUAGAAGUAAAACAGGAUUCAAGUAAAAUAAAAAGAUAAAUGUAGAGAACUGUAUAGAGGAUUAAUAUAAAUAAAUAAAUAGAUAUAAAUAAAUAAAUUAAAUAAAUAAAUGUAAACAUAAAUAAACAUAUAUAUAUAUGUUUGUGCCUAGAUGUUAUCCUGCCAGGGAACUCGUCCAGCUUCAGACAUGAAGUACUGAGCAAACUUCUCCCUCACUGCCACAACAUCUCUGCCAGCAUUGUUGGUGCCAAGGCGAGGUGCGUUCUGGAGACCUUGUGAUGGCUCAGCUGUGGAUGUUCCAGUAGAUGACCUAGCCGGUAUUGUAGUGCUGGCAUCCCACCUCAGAAAGUUAUGGAGCAUGCAGGUGGCCUUUACCACGUUCUCUGCCACUUCUGGAGAGACACACAGCACCCGACGUGUUGUAGCCAGGGUAUGGGCGCAUGAUGUUACGGCGCAAGGGGAAGGCUUCGUCUGCCAGAAACACAUGAGGCAUCGGGCCAAGAUGUUCUGCCCCUGGGAGGAUGGAGUCAUCCGGGAUACCCAAUGUGUUCUGCCGUAGGGCAGUACCAAAAGCGGAGGAGGAGAGGGUUCCCCCAUCACUGUUUCUUCCAUAGGCCCCGAUGUCAACAAGCCUGAAACAGUACCUGGCGUCGACUACAGCCAGAAGGACGAUGGAAAAAGUGCCUUUGUAAUUGUAAUAAAGAGUGCCACUGGAGGGAGGAGCCUCAAUGACUACGUGUUUCCCAUCCAUUGCCCCUAGGCAGUUGGGGAAAUCCAGCUGUUGGAAUCCAGUGGCGAUCUUUCUCCACGCUGCUUUGUCCGGAAUAGGCAUGUAAUCUGGCAGGAGGCAAUCCCAAAUAGCUGUGCAGACCUGAUGAACUAUGCCUGCCACAGUGCUGGCACCCAUCCUGAAGGCGAAAGCGAUGGACCGGAAUGAAUCGCCAGUUGCCAGAUACCUGCCCAAAGAGUGAUAUUUAGUUUAGUCUGAAACAAUUGAGCAAGCACGCAUACACCUGUUGAUCUUGAUUGUAGCCGUUAGCAGUUAGAUAGCAGUUUCUAUUUCAUUUGCAGGCCUGACAGUCAGGUAGGUAAUGCUAGCAGUCUACAUCCUGUCCAGCGAGGGACGCUAUACAUAUAAAAUAGG